rnacentral:misc_RNA from 1 species
CUCUUCCGACUAGAGAUUGCCUUUUCCAGGACCCUCUCCAUGAUGGCAAGACCAUGCUCAAAAUUUGGAACCUCAACAAGUUUACAGGAGUUAUUGGAGUAUUCAACUGCCAAGGAGGGGGUUGGUGUAGGGAGACAAGAAGAAACAAAUGUGCCUCCCAAUUUUCUCACCUGGUGACUACCAAAACCAAUGCUAAAGACAUCGAAUGGAACAGUGGCAAGAACCCAAUCUCUAUUGAAGGAGUUCAAGUAUUUGCCAUGUACUUGUCCCAAACCAAGAAGCUUCUCCUCUCCAAGCCACAUGACAAGAUUGAAAUAUCACUAGAGCCAUUCAAUUUUGAACUUGUCACUGUCUCUCCAGUUAUAAUCCCAGAAGGAAAAUCAGUUCAAUUUGCACC